CUGUCUCCUAGAGUGAGUGGCUGCUCUCUUCUCCAGCCCGCACUUGGAAAUACCGAAGGGCACCCACCUGCAGCCUCACAUCCCUGGAGCCCGGGAGACGGCUCAUCAUCACAGGCCACACCUCAGGACUCUGAAGGGUACCUUAUUCAGCAGAAGCAACAGGGGCCCCUGUAGCCGAGCUUAGCAGAUAAGAAGAUUAGGAAAACGGAUUUUAACUUUCAUUUCUUUGAUGCGAACGGACUUGUGAGGGCCAUGCUGACACCUUGCCCGGAUGGCUGGGGAAGGAGAAACCUCACUGCUCUGUUUACUCUUUUCUUUGGAAGCUCCUGCCUCUGCCUGGUCCUGGGCUCACCCCACUCACCCACAGACAAACCACAGUCCCCACUGCCAGCUUCGCUGAAGGGACUCGGAAUAAAACCAAUAAAAACGUCUUACGAGUGGUUUUCUGUUUAGAAAUGCUUUUUGUGGAAAAAGACUGACCGGACGCUGGCAGCACCAAAAUCGCCUUUUAAGUCAUUUAUUUUCAUCUCCUGUUUUGCCUCUGGUGGCCCUCCCUUGGUCUAGUGAGUUGAUGUUGAAAGGUCAACGGUCACACCAA